rnacentral:misc_RNA from 1 species
GGGACUACCAGGGUUUCUAAUCCUGUUCGCUACCCAUGCUUUCGCUCCUCAGCGUCAGUUACUACCCAGAGACCUGCCUUCGCCAUCGGUGUUCUUCCUGAUAUCUGUGCAUUCCACCGCUACACCAGAAAUUCCAGUCUCCCCUGUAGUACUCAAGUCAGCCCGUAUCGCCUGCACGUCCAGGGUUAAGCCCUAGGAUUUCACAGACGACGUGACAAACCGCCUACGAGCUCUUUACGCCCAGUAAUUCCGGACAACGCUCGCACCCUACGUAUUACCGCGGCUGCUGGCAC